rnacentral:tRNA from 1 species
UCCCGGGUGGUCUAGUGGUUAAGGAUUUGGCACUGUCACUGCUGUGACUCAGGUUCACUCCUUGGCCUGGGAA